CCGUGGCUCUUUUAUUUCCCAGAAGGUGCAGCUCCUGUACAGCAACGCCAGCGAGUGCUGAAGGCUGAGGGCAGCGGGGUCCCAACGCCACCCCCGGGACACAACGGAGGGGACAGGGAUGGGGACGCGGGGUCUGCCUAUAGACAGAGCCAUGUACAUAUAUAUAAGUAUGUAUAAGUGUGCGGAGUGCCCUCCCCGCGAGCAUCCUGGCUGGGGUGGGAGCAGCGUUGAGUUUUCCCCCUGCUUUCUGUUCCUCCCCUGCCUGCAUCCCGGGCUGCAGCUCUGCCGGAGCGUGGGUGACUUUAAAAAAUAAUGACCCACAGCCUUUUAACCCACUUUAAGGGCACUGCAGCACAUUUUCCAGCAGGCUGAGAGUGCAGCGGGGCCCCGUGGGGUGGGAAAUGGUCCUCAGCGCUGUGCGGCCUCACGGAUGGAGCUGUGGGGGAGGAGGGGGUCACCUCCCCGUGUCCCUUGUGCUGCACUACCCAGAUCCCAGGGCACCUCAACCACACAGGGACACCCCAAUCCUACAGGACAUUCCAACCACAGGGACACCUUAACCCUACAGGACACCCCAAUCCUACAGGACAUCCCAACCACAGGGACACCUUAACCCUACAGGACAUCCCAACCACACAGGGACACCCCAACCCUACAGGACAUCCCAACCCUACAGGGGCACCUCAACCCUGCAGGAUACCCUGAUCCUACAGGGGCAUCUCAAUCCCACAGGGACACCCCAACUCUGCUGGGACAUUCCAACACUUCAGGAACACGCCAAUCCUAUAUGGACAUUCUAACCCUGCAGGGACACCCCAAUCCUAUGUCAUUCCAACCCCAGAGGACAUCCCAAUCCU
rnacentral:lncRNA from 7 species